rnacentral:rRNA from 1 species
CGACGUGGAUAACCUGCCUCACACAGGGGGAUAACAGUUAGAAAUGACUGCUAAUACCGCAUAAGCGCACGGCAUCGCAUGAUGCAGUGUGAAAAACUCCGGUGGUGUGAGAUGGAUCCGCGUCUGAUUAGGUAGUUAGUGGGGUAACGGCCCACCAAGCCGACGAUCAGUAGCCGACCUGAGAGGGUGACCGGCCACAUUGGGACUGAGACACGGCCCAA